CCGACUUUGGUCUGGCAUUAACAAAUAUGUUUGGGACAAGGACAGAGACAGAGGCAGCAGGAACAUAUGUCUACAGGGCCCCGGAGGUUACUUCUCCUUUGGAAUCCUACUCUUUGAGACGGCCUUUCAAUUUCACCCAUUUUAUGAUUAUGACGACCAAGACAAGGCAAUGGAUUCAAUACGUGUUGAUGAUCUGGAAUAUCCAGAAGAUGCUGAUCCUGACCUCCUGGACUUACUACGCAAAUUAUUGUGCAAAAACUGCCACAUGCGCAAAUAGAUCAUUAUCAACAUAAGAGAGCACCCAUUUUUCCAAGGCGUGGACUGGGAGGAGGUGGAGAAGAAUUCUGAUGACCCCAAAAUGUUCGGAGUGCGAAAGAUGGUAGCAGCAACCCACCGAGAGAGUGAUACACUGGUAGCCAUAAAGAUGAUAAGCAAGAGCUCAAUGAUAGCCGAUGACCCAGGUUCCCUCAUCAUUGAACGCCAAGUUCUGGAGAUGGCGGGGGGCAGCCCUUUCUGUACCCGCGCCUAUGCAGCGUUUCAAACGGAGGGCCACCUAUUCUUCGUUAUGGAUUACUUAUGCGGCGGAGAUCUAUUUAAAGUGAUAUAUAGACAUCCAGCCCUUGACAUCAGCAGCAUCAGGAUCCUGGCAGCAGAAAUGAUUUGUGGGCUACAGUAUCUGCACUCCAGAGGAGUAGUGCACAGGGACCUGAAGCCUGAUAACGUUCUUCUCGAUUCCAGUGGUCAUAUAAGAUUGGCCGACUUUGGUCUGGCAUUAACAAAUAUGUUUGGGACAAGGACAGAGACAGAAGGAACAUAUGUCUACAGGGCCCCGGAGUUAUUGUGCAAAAACUGCCACAUGCGCAAAUGGAUCAUUAUCAACAUAAGAGAGCACCCAUUUUUCCAAGGCGUGGACUGGGAGGAGGUGGAGAAGAAUUCUGAUGACCCCAAAAUGUUCGGAGUGCGAAAGAUGGUAGCAGCAACCCACCGAGAGAGUGAUACACUGGUAGCCAUAAAGAUGAUAAGCAAGAGCUCAAUGAUAGCCGAUGACCCAGGUUCCCUCAUCAUUGAACGCCAAGUUCUGGAGAUGGCGGGGGGCAGCCCUUUCUGUACCCGCGCCUAUGCAGCGUUUCAAACGGAGGGCCACCUAUUCUUCGUUAUGGAUUAUUUAUGCGGCGGAGAUCUAUUUAAAGUGAUAUAUAGACAUCCAGCACUUGACAUCAGGAUCCUGGCAGCAGAAAUGCUUUGUGGUCUCCAGUAUCUGCACUCCAGAGGAGUAGUGCACAGGGACCUGAAGCCUGAUAACGUUCUUCUCGAUUCCCGUGGUCAUAUAAGAUUGGCCGACUUUGGUCUGGCAUUAACAAAUAUGUUUGGGACAAGGACAGAGACAGAGGCAGCAGGAACAUAUGUCUACAGGGCCCCGGAGAGCUUAAGGAUAAUGGCACAGCACAAAAUAGAAUUUGAAAGCUUCAUGGACCAACAAGAGGCCAUCUCAGCUGAGGAGCAGAGGCUGUUCGAUGGUUUUAACUUUCUCUGCGAUAAAUGGAGUCUUUCAUUAAUCAAUAUGCAGCCAAAACAUACAUACAACAUAUUUGGAUCUUCCUGGGGCUCUGUGACACUGUGCCCUCAGGGGCCACCCGAACAAACACAUUUGGACUACCUAAAGUCAAUCAGUGCCAGUCUGCACCCCUACACCAGCUACAACCUCCCUGGAGCAAGGAAAGAGAUGUCAGAGAAGAGGAAAAGCCCAGCUGUGUCGCACCUACAGGCCUGGAUGUGAAGACCAGAAAGCGCGGCAGAGAUGAAAUAUUUUAUACCGAUGUUAAGAAAGCUAGGUCAGACAUGAUUCUGAUGAUGGAAAGCGACCCUUUUGAGGAUUGGUUUAAAUAUAACCGCCUUCAUAGACCAAAAAGGCACAGAACGCCAUUCAUACCACAUGCACCUAGGAGUAUAAAGGGGAUACUGGAACCACCUAAAACCGGGAAGCGAAGAGAUAUCAGAAAAGAGGAAAAGCCCCGCUGUGUCACACCUACAGGGCUGGAUGUGAAGACCAGAAAGUGCGGCAGAGAUUAAAUAUUUUAUAGCCCUAGUGAGAGCUGAGGAGUCACACGUGACUCUGAGGACACAAGGAGCCUUGCUGGCAAAGCUCCAAGGAAGAGAAGCAGAGAGGACAGUGCGGAUCGCUUUGCAGAGACAGGAGAAAUUCCAAGAAAGCAAAGCAGACAGGAGAGAUCGGAAAGCUCCGCAGCCAACAAUGGCACUGGACAGAAGAGGAAAUCCCCCCAACAGGAUGAAUGUGAGGGACAACCCUGGAAGAAGCAAAGGACAGAUGCAGCAACUAACUAUCAACAAAAGAAGGGCUCUGAAACCACUCCUCCAAAUAUUGCAAAGCAACACCAUCAUUUACCAGUGGGGCUUCCCCUUCUCUGUGAGAUUCUCAUACCAGAACCACAAAUAUACUUGCCGUAGCGCAAUGGAUCUGCAAACCACUCUGCAGAAUGUGGGGCUGAUGACGCCUUGGACUCUCGCCGAAAGAACUCGCAUCCUGACAAAUAUAAUUCCUCUUCUGCCUCAAGAGAAAAUGGGGACCACAGUCCCAACAAAAGACUUCGCAAGUUGUCACCUGUUCCUGAUCCCUGUGACUCUAUGGACUGAAUAGGGUCACAAACUGUGCUUACUCCCUUUCUCUGGGAAUUUGCUUGACCCUGUUGGUCUUGGUCUUAUUUUGGCCCCCUUAUGACGGCCUGGUAACUUUUUCAUUUCAGUAACGCAUAAGUUAUUGUUGCAGUGACUUUUUUCAAGUUCUCCUCUUUUUUUUUUUUUCUUCUCUUUUCCUCUUACCAUGCCUAACCCGUUAUAUUCCUUGCAAUAUAGAAUAUAUAGUAAUUAGUAUACUGUUAAUAACCAAUAGCUUAUUUCCAGGUUUUGGUCGGGUCUAUAUUUAAAUUUCAGUU